rnacentral:rRNA from 1 species
CAGUAGCCGCGGUAAAACAGAGGGUGCGAGCGUUAAUCGGAUUUACUGGGCGUAAAGCGUGCGUAGGCGGCUUUUUAAGUCGGAUGUGAAAUCCCUGAGCUUAACUUAGGAAUUGCAUUCGAUACUGGGAAGCUAGAGUAUGGGAGAGGAUGGUAGAAUUCCAGGUGUAGCGGUGAAAUGCGUAGAGAUCUGGAGGAAUACCGAUGGCGAAGGCAGCCAUCUGGCCUAAUACUGACGCUGAGGUACGAAAGCAUGGGGAGCAAACAGGAUUAGAGACCCCUGUAGUCACUGUCUCUUAUAC